rnacentral:rRNA from 1 species
CCUACGGGAGGCAGCAGUGAGGAAUAUUGGUCAAUGGGCGCGAGCCUGAACCAGCCACGUCGCGUGAGGGAAGACGGUCCUCUGGAUUGUAAACCUCUUUUGUCGGGGAGCAAAAGACGCCACGCGUGGCGUUCCGACAGUCCCCCAAGACCACAGAUCGGCGAACUACGUGCCAGCAGCCGCGGUAAGCCGGAGGAGACGAGCGUUAUCCGGAGUUAGUUGGUUUAAAGGGUGCGUAGGUGGAAGAUGAAGUCAGCGGUAAAAUUGAGAGGCUCAACCGCUUCGAGCCGUUGAAACUGGUUUUCUUGAGUGAGCGAGAAGUAUGCGGAAUGCGUGGUGUAGCGGUGAAAGGCAUAGAUAUCACGUAGAACUCCGAUUGCGAAGGCAGCAUACCGGCGCUCAACUGACGCUCAUGCACGAAAGUGUGGGUAGCGAACAGGAUUAGAUACCCGAGUAGUC